rnacentral:rRNA from 1 species
GAUGAACGCUGGCGGCGUGCUUAACACAUGCAAGUCGAACGGAAAGGCCCAAGCUUGCUUGGGUACUCGAGUGGCGAACGGGUGAGUAACACGUGGGUGAUCUGCCCUGCACUUCGUGAUAAGCCUGGGAAACUGGGUCUAAUACCGGAUAGGACGAUGGUUUGGAUGCCAUUGUGGAAAGUUUUUUCGGUGUGGGAUGAGCUCGCGGCCUAUCAGCUUGUUGGUGGGGUAAUGGCCUACCAAGGCGUCGACGGGUAGCCGGCCUGAGAGGGUGUACGGCCACAUUGGGACUGAGAUACGGGCCAGACUACUACGGGAGGCAGCAGUGGGGAAUAUUGCACAAUGGGAGGAAGCCUGAUGGAGGGAGGCCGCGUGGGGGAUGACGGCCUUCGGGUUGUAAACUCCUUUCGCUAGGGAAGAAGCGUUUUUGUGACGGUACCUGGAGAAGAAGCACCGGCUAACUACGUG